GCCCUGGCCAGGCUGCAGCUUCUUUGUGCAACUAGUCUCCCAGGCCAGGACCCUUGGGUGGUACUCCAGCACCCAACUAGGCAGUUUCCUGGUGGCCACUCCCAGAUGAAUGCGGUUUAAGAAGAAAAGAAAUGGCAGAGGGAACAGAAUGGGCAUUAUAUGCCAGGAACCCACAUGCCUCAUACCUGGCUGAGUCUUGAAAUUUCCAGUUUACCUGGGACGGGUCCAGGUAACCUGGCUUUAAGGAACUAGGCUCCACAUUGACAAGAACAUCAAACAGCUAGAGAUUGACAUUACUAAUCUGAAGAAAUCCCUCGUUUCGCUGUCUGAAGAGACCUCC